GUAAGUCCUAGUGGGCAAUAUCAGUGUAGUGGUAUGAAAAUAGAUUUUUCAGGUUGGGCGUAUGCUACUUGGAGAUACAGUGAGACCCCUCUAAUUUAAGAAAAAGUCAGCAUUCAUUAAAGGCAAUUGUAGACUCAAGCAUUCUUUUAUGGCAAACAAAAAAACGAAAAAAACUUGUCUCACUGCCAAAAGAGUUGUUAAAUAAAUACACCUGCCCUGCUGGAGAAUGAAGCAAAUCUAGAUGGGUUGCCAGGCUUCUGAAUAAUCUAUCACAUGAUAGAGCUGAGAGUGCCAUGUCUACACUGACAGCCCAGUUAACUAAAUCUUUUGUUUUGCAUGUAACAAGUUCAGUUGGUAGUAUCUUAGCCCAAAGGUUUGGUUUAAAAAAUGAACUGCACUUCACUGAAUCACGUUUAAGAAAUGUAAUAACUCUUCCACUUAUUGUAAUUACAACAAUCCUUUUUUGGCGGGAGCUAUUAAAAGACAGUUUUUAACUUUUGCUAUAAGUUCAGGGGUACAUGUGCAGGUCUGCUUGACUUUCAGUAGGAAAACACUCCUGUUGAAAGAAACACAGAAUUUUGCCCACUUCAAAUAUGAAUAAAAGUGGGACUGCAGUUGGAUGGUGGUGAAGGGAGGUUUCACUGUUUGAAAUACUUCAUUCAUGUUUAAAUUUCUGCAGUGAGAAAACACUAUAUUCAAAUUUUAUCUAAAUAAACAAAUGUAGAUAUAGAUGUAGAGAAAAUGACACUGAGUCAAUAAAUAUAGUGGUUAGCAGCAUGGAAUUUGAAAUAUGCCAGAUCUUAGUUCAUAUUUCACCUCUACUAUUUAUUAAUUAUAUGGCCUUGGCCAAGUUACCUAACCUCUUUCAUAAAAUGAAGAUAAUAAUACCUAUUGUGAAGGACUGCUGAGAGAUUGUGGUAAUGUAUGUGAAGUGAUUAGCAUAGUGCCUAGCACAGAAAGAUAUCUGAUUAAUGUUGCCUAUUAUUUGUAUUACUAUUACUUGUAGAGUGCUUUAUACUUUCUGAGUUCUUUCAAAUGUUAUUUUAUUUAAAAGUCCUAAUUAUCCUGAAAAAAAGCCAAAACCAAAGGGAGAGUUUUCAAGAAUGCUGGUACUUUUUCCUAAUAGAAUGGUUAUUGAUGUGGAUAUGCACUCCCAUUCAGAUGACUCUCCUUUCAGUUUUCUCCAGUGAGAUCUUAAUAUUUAUGUUCAAUAAUUAUUAAGUUGCAACAUAUCAUUCUGAAAAUGGCAACCACUGAGACUGUCAUUAUCCAGAAUACAGGGAUGAUACAAAAACUACCCUUGAAGUGUUUUAAUAAUUAGAAUCAAUAAGUUUUAGACAUCUAUGGAAAGAAAGCUCAAAUUCAGCCUCACUAGUAGAUACUUAAAGGCUAUUGUGAGGAAGCAGGUAUAAGGAUCAAUUUAAAUGGCAUCCACAGCAAGAUAUAUUGACCUAGACCCAAAAAGUCUAGUAAAAACAAUGUUCUGAUAAGAUUAAAUAAAGUAAACUAUAAGAAAGGCAGUGGCUAUCUUUCUAUUCUUGCCUUUUAUAGAUCUAGGUUUUAUACAUUUACCCUUUUUCACUUUUUGCCUUCAAGAUGACUUCCUUCUACCGUAGCCUUUUUAGAGAUUUCACUUGUUGCAAAGAAAUUGGAUUAGACUGGUGGUUCUGUAAGCAUCACAGGGAGGGCUUAUUAAAACACAGAUUUCUGGGCCUUAGCCCUAGAUUUUCUGAUUCAUUAGGGGACAACUAACAAGUUUCCAGGUGAUGUAAGCGUUGCUUGUUCAGGGACUUACAGAACCCCUUAAUUCAAAUAAGGAAGGGCCACAGAAAUUUUGUUUUCAUAGCUGCUAAAAGGACAAAAUCUAACAUUUAUUCACGGACAUCAUGAAAAGUGUGUUUCUACCUACCUCAGGCUAAUCACAGAAGAGAUUUAACCCUUUUGCCUCCUUUUUCUGGAAUCCACUUGACUAGAUUGAGAAACACAUAAAUAAUCCCCUCCAUGUAUCUUACAGAAUUGUCAGCAAAAUGAUUUCUGCUUUCCUGUCUUCCAAAAUGCUCCCAUAAACAGCCCAAUGAAGAGUCCUAGAGAAGUGAGCUAGUAGAGCUUAAAAUAUCAUGAGAGGACAUAUUUAAAGAUAUUUAGGAUAUAUAUUCCUGACUUUCAAAAACCUGUGUUCAAAGAUAUGAACCCAUAGGCUCUCAAGGCAUAAAUCAACAAAAUAAGUUAAUAACAUAGUGAUUUGAUAACUAUGAGUUGAUAAGCAGGAGGGUGCACACCCUAAUGAUUUUAAACCUGUGAGCUAUAACUUCUGGGCACUGCAAGAUUAUCUGUUGGUAGAUGUUAUCAUCACCAAAAAAAUUAAUUCAUUUAAAAUGUACUAAAUAUAUUUAAACAUUUUGUCAUGUACUAUUUUCAUCUAAUACAGUGGUCCCCAAUCUUUUUGGCACAAGAAAUCGGUUUCAUGGAAGAAAAUUUUUCCAUAGACUGGGGAGAUGGUUUUGGGAUGAUUCAAGCAUAUUUCAUUUAUUGUGCACUUCAUUUCUAUUAUUAUUACAUUGUAAUAUAUAAUGAAAUAAUCAUAAAAUUCACCAUAGUGUAGAAUCAGUGGGAGCCUUAAGCUUGUGUUCCUGCAACUAGACAGUCCCAUCUGGGGGUGAUGGAAGACAGUGACAGAUCAUUAGGCAUUAGAUUCUCAUAGGGAGUGUGCAGCCUAGUUCCCUCACUUGCACAGUUCACAAUGGGGUUUGUGCUCCUAUGAGAAUUGAAAGCUGCUGCUGAUCUGACAGGAGGCUGAGGUCAGGUGGUAAUGCAAGCAAUGGGGAGCAGCUGUAAAUACAGAUGAAACUUCAGUCACUCAACUACCAUUCACUUCCUGCUGUGUGGCCUGGUUCCUCACAGGCCAUGAACUGGUACCUAUCCAUGUCCCAGUGGUUGGAGAUCCCUGAUCUAAUGGAUACUGAAAACACAAGUACUAUUGAGAGGUGAAGCCAGCUGGGCUUCUGGGUCAGAUGGGGACUUGGAGAACUUCAGUCUCUAGCUAAAGGAUUGCAAAUGCACCAAUCAGCGCUCUGUGUCUGGCUAAAGGAUUGUAAAUGCACCAAUCAGCACUCUGUAAAAAUGCACCAAUCAGCACUCUGUGUCUAGCUAACGGAUUGUAAAUGCACCAAUCAGCACUCUGUAAAAACACACCAAUCAGUGCUCUGUAAAAUGGACGAAUCAGCAGGAUAUGGGCAGGGCCAAAUAAGGGAAUAAAAGCUGGCCACCUGAGCCAGCAGCGGCAACCCGCUUGGGUCCCCUUCCAUACUGUGGAAGCUUUGUUCUUUCGCUCUUCACAAUAAAUCUUGCUGUUGCUCACUCUUUGGGUCCACACUACUUUUAUGAGCUGUAACACUCACUGCGAGGGUCUGAGACUUCAUUCCUGAAGUCAGUGAGACCACGAACCCACCGAGAGGAACAAACAACUCCGGACGCGCCACCUUUAAGAGCUGUAACACUCACUGUGAAGGUCUGCGGUUCCACUCCUGAAGUCAGUGAGACCAUGAACCCACCAGAAGGAAUAAAUUCCGGACACAUUUUGGUGAGCAGAUGGGACAAUCACCAAGUGGUGAGUACCAUCAGACCCCUUUCACUUGCUAUUCUUUCCUAUUUUUCCUUAGAAUUCAGGGGCUAAAUACCAGGCAUCUGUCGGCCAGUUAAAAGUGACUAGCACGGCCACCAGACUAAAGACACGGGUGUCAGGCUUUCUGGGAAAGGGCUCUCGAACAACCUCCAACUCUUCGGAGUUGGGAGCGUUGGUUUGCCUGGAAACAGCUUCCACUUUUCCCAUACUUCUGGGCUGAGCCUAGGGUUGACAGAGAGGACAGCCAUUCAGCUCUGGGGUCACGACAACAAGUUGGUUGACCCUGCAGCCAUAAGCAGAACUCUCAAAGUUACUUCACCCAAGCGAGACUUGCCCAUCUAUCCUAUCUAUCCUGACUUUUGC
rnacentral:lncRNA from 1 species